AUGAACGCUGGCGGCGUGCCUAAUACAUGCAAGUCGAGCGAACGGACGAGAAGCUUGCUUCUCUGAUGUUAGCGGCGGACGGGUGAGUAACACGUGGAUAACCUACCUAUAAGACUGGGAUAACUUCGGGAAACCGGAGCUAAUACCGGAUAAUAUUUUGAACCGCAUGGUUCAAAAGUGAAAGACGGUCUUGCUGUCACUUAUAGAUGGAUCCGCGCUGCAUUAGCUAGUUGGUAAGGUAACGGCUUACCAAGGCAACGAUGCAUAGCCGACCUGAGAGGGUGAUCGGCCACACUGGAACUGAGACACGGUCCAGACUCCUACGGGAGGCAGCAGUAGGGAAUCUUCCGCAAUGGGCGAAAGCCUGACGGAGCAACGCCGCGCGAGUGAUGAAGGUCUUCGGAUCGUAAAACUCUGUUAUUAGGGAAGAACAUAUGUGUAAGUAACUGUGCACAUCUUGACGGUACCUAAUCAGAAAGCCACGGCUAACUACGUG
rnacentral:rRNA from 1 species